rnacentral:SRP_RNA from 1 species
CCGCGCUAGGUGGGGAGCUAGCGGUGCCCUUGAUCCGCAAUCCGCUACAGCGGGCUGAAUCCCCGCCCGAGGUCCAUCCGUAACGUGUCUGCCGCCGACGCUCGGUAUUGAACGCCGGGCCUCGUGCGACGAAGGCCUUCCAACCCCGUCAGGUCCGAGAGGAAGCAGCGGUACGAAGCCCCCUUCGGGCGCCGCGAGUCCACCUGGCCGGAGCCGUGGCCCGACGGUAAGGCGUUGUUGGGCGGGUCGACGGCGGGUGCGCGG